ACCAAUAUGAAGUGAUGCCUUUCCUCUCCCUCCACCAAUAUGUAUCUCCAUUGCAUACCCUCUCUCUCCUCCAAUAUGAACUUCUCUCCACUAUGGGCUUCUCUCACUCUCUCUCUAGUAUGGGCGACAGUACCAAAUGCUCACUACAGAGCAUAGCGCAGUUCUCUCUCUCCACACCUAUAUGGACUCAUUGCUCUCUCUCUCUCUCUCUUACAUGCUUUUCUGUCAUCUUCUUCACUAAAAUGGACAGGCGUAAGCAUGACAGAGCAACACACCAAACGCCGAUGACACAUUAUGGCUCCAUGCAAGUCAAGUUGAAUCUGAUCACAGAGAAACAGUGAUGCACUUUUUCCCAACAACUCUCACAUAUUUUGCCAUUUGGCAACUUAAGAAUGACUAUGUUAGAUAGAGAGAGAGAGAGAGAUUUUGGUGAGGUUGGUAUAGAG
rnacentral:lncRNA from 1 species